rnacentral:lncRNA from 1 species
GGAUAAACACUUCCCAAGAUAAAGUCAUUUUGCCUUUGAUUAAUAAAGAACAUCCUGAGAAAAGAAUUGGAACUGUGCCAGCAUGUGCGGCAGAAUUGCAUCUUCUUUGACUGGAUGACCAGUACCUUCUGCCUUUAAAAGGGAGAACCACCAUGGCCAAGGGGGYACAUCAACUACCUGCAGGCUUCGUAUCUGGCAGCUCCUCAGACUCCCCUCUGCUAGGAAAGCUAACUGCAAAGAUUGUAAUGAACUGCUGAAAGGCUUCCAGGCAAGAAAUGCUCCAACUUUGA